AGCUUGACAAGGGAAUAAACUCAUGGUUGUUGUGCGGUGAUGUAAGCCUGCAAAUAGGAUCCAACUCUAUUAAUCAAAAGGUAACCAAUUGCCAAGCAAUUCAUCAAGCAAGCUUAGCUCACAAACUCAUAUGCAUAGUACGUAAGGAAGCCUGCAAAGAUUCACAGAAACAAACCAAUGAAUUUUGUGAGCCCUAGCCUCUCGUGUACCUUGUAGAUGGGGAUACGUGAGAAGCCUGCAAAGUAUCAUAGUAAGCUCUAUUAGUUUGCAAGCUCCAUUUGAAGAACCACUGUCUAUUAGAGGAUUAGAAAGAUUUGUUCAUAAUCAGUUAGGAGCAUCUAUGCCAAUUAGUAGGCAGGGUUCCGGGCUUAUCAUAAAUGAAUGACCCUGAAGAUCAGCUUCACUUCUGGGCUUACCAUCAGCUUUUCAAUAAAAUAACGAUCUAACAAAAAAAAACAUGUUCUUUGCAAUACCUUCUCAUCAAGGAGGAUAAGAGUGAUUCCACAGAUCUUCCGACAACGGACGGCGUCAAAGCCUGAUUGCGCGAGAACGGUAUCGGAGGAAGACAUUUUUGAGAUCAAUUAAACGCUUAAGAAAAUGAGAAUCUGAUAGAGGUUCUGAAUAUCCCUUCUACUCUCAACCCCCUGAUAUAUAUAUAUAUAUAGAUUUUAAGGAAACAGAGGCGUCGACAUUAAUUGCCAAAUUAAAAAAAAAUACAUUGAACCUCAGGGAGGUGAAGAGAUAACAUAGGGUGAGGUGAAGAGAUGAGUAGAGGACCAUUAAAGAGGAGACAACC
rnacentral:lncRNA from 1 species